rnacentral:rRNA from 1 species
UACGGAGGGUGCAAGCGUUACCCGGAAUUAUUGGGCGUAAAGGGCUCGUAGGCGGUUUGUCGCGUCGGGAGUGAAAUCCACUGGCUUAACUGGUGGCUUGCUUUCGAUACGGGCAGACUGGAGGUAUGCAGGGGAGAACGGAAUUCCUGGUGUAGCGGUGAAAUGCGCAGAUAUCAGGAGGAACACCGGUGGCGAAGGCGGUUCUCUGGGCAUGUCCUGACGCUGAGGAGCGAAAGCAUGGGGAGCGAACAGG